UGCAUUUAUCCAAAAAGCGGAGGAAAAGAAACUAACAAGGAUUCCCCUAGUAACGGCGAGUGAAGCGGGAUGAGCUCAAAUUUAAAAUCUGGCGGCCUCAGGUCGUCCGAGUUGUAGUCUAGAGAAUCGUUUUCCGCGUUGGCCUGUGUACAAGUCCCUUGGAACAGGGCGUCAUAGAGGGUGAGAAUCCCGUCCUUGACACAGAUUACCAAUGCUUUGUGAUGCGAUCUCGAAGAGUCGAGUUGUUUGGGAAUGCAGCUCAAAAUGGGUGGUAAAUUCCAUCUAAAGCUAAAUAUUGGCGAGAGACCGAUAGCGAACAAGUACCGUGAGGGAAAGAUGAAAAGCACUUUGGAAAGAGAGUUAAACAGUACGUGAAAUUGUUAAAAGGGAAACGAUUGAAGUCAGUCAUGCUUUCCGAGACUCAGCCGAUUCUGUCGGUGUACUUCUCGGUUGGCAGGCCAGCAUCAGUUUCGAUCUGUGGAAAAGGUUGGAGGGAACGUGGCAUCUUCGGAUGUGUUAUAGCCCUUCUUCGAAUACAUAGAGCGGGACUGAGGAACGCAGCGCGCCUUUUAUUAGGUUGACCCUCGGGUACAUACGCGCUUAGGAUGCUGGCAUAAUGGCUUUAAACGACCCGUCUUGAACCCCACGA
rnacentral:rRNA from 1 species